rnacentral:rRNA from 1 species
UACGGGGGGGGCAAGCGUUGUUCGGAAUUACUGGGCGUAAAGGGCUCGUAGGUGGCCAAUUAAGUCAGACGUGAAAUCCCCAGGCUCAACCUGGGAACUGCGUCUGAUACUGAUUGGCUUGAAUCCGGGAGAGGGAUGCAGAAUUCCAGGUGUAGCGGUGAAAUGCGUAGAUAUCUGGAGGAAUACCGGUGGCGAAGGCGGCAUCCUGGACCGGCAUUGACGCUGAGGAGCGAAAGCCAGGGGAGCAAACGGG